UAGACAAAAGGGCCUUUGUUGUAUGUAGCCUUUGUUAUUUAAAUGAAGGUGAGCACAAGGAAAUGAAGCUUUUGUGGUUCUUUUUAAUUCUUGGUGAAAGGCUGCUAUCUGAAUCAGUGGAAUGGAUAGCAGUCAAAAAGGGUGACACUGUAAGUGUCCACUGUAACAUAUCCUUUAAUGUGGAGACCGUCUGGGUAAGGCAAAGGAUUGACAGAGUACCAGAGGGCUUGCUUGUUUCAGGGCCCAAUGAACAUGAUGGAAGUGUCUACUUGAAGAACCGCCUUGACCCUCGCUUCUCUGCAGUCGUCAACCACUCAAGUCAAACCAACAACCUGCAAAUCAGAGACAUUAGCAAUGAUGAUCUUGCUUUAUACUAUUGUAUUGGCAGGAUCAGGGGCAAACUGACAUUUGGAGUGGGCACGAGACUGUAUCUAACGAUUGCAGACCUUGACAUCACAGAGUCUGCCCUUGUCCUCCCUUACAUGUGGUUUGUUGGCUCUAUCAGUGUUGGACUUCUCAUAAUGGUAUCAGUAGUGCUGGCUGUGCACCUAAAGACACGGCAGAUGGAAACACAGAAUUCAUCAUUCAAGAGUGGACAAAGAAGAGUCUAGAGGUUGAAAAUGACACAUCAUGCAAGGCCCACAACACCCUACUUUGACUUGCACUGAUUCAAUUUCUGAAAUGUAUUGAAAUGAUAAGACAUUUUUAUUAUGGUAAAAAUAUCUCUUAUUUAGGCCGCCAUGUUCUGUCUGUAGUAAUGAUUUAAAAACUCACACCCACAAUAAUGUAACAAUGUGUUAAACUUGAUUAGGGAACAGUUACCCAGGCUACUGGGUGUAGCUUUUCACAGUGAAUGCCUCACAUGUCACUUGGGAUACCUGGUUUUGGCUGAAGAGAUCUAAUUGCAUUCACUGUGAGAAAUAUUCAGUAGUGCUGAAAGGCAGAGUAGGCAAACACAUUUUACAACAUACAGCUACACUGGUGUAAUAUUAUGAAAGUGAGACACAACUUUUUCUGAUUCCCUGAUUUCAGGGAAGUACUGACAAAUACUGAUACCAAUUACCAGAGGAAUAUUUCAAAGUAAAUAAAUACAAA